AUUGGGGUGGCAUAGCCCGGUUAUUGCUCGGGGCCUAAAACCCCCUAUCAGAAGUUCAAAUCUUCUCUCCAACA
rnacentral:tRNA from 1 species